AUAGCAGGAAAUACCCAGCGUGCUAAAAAUAGUUCCACGUGUCACAGCUGUCAUCUGCCAGGGGCUCGGCUUAUAUCGGCUGCUAUCGACAAGGUUGAGCUGAUUGUCACGAUGUCUGGUAAAGGACAAUAUGUGCCCAUUGGAAACAAGGGAUCGGCCCCUCCUCCCCGACCACCUCCACAGCAGCCACCCCCACGGCAACCCCCGGCACCUCGACUGAUACGCGCAACACACACAACAAGCGGGGGCGGCUUUCCGAAGUCUCACUCGGCAUAGCACAUUCCGUUCGUCACCACUCGCCUCUUUCCGUAAUCUCCAAGAGCUGGUCCCGGAAUAACACGAAUUGGUCACGAAUGGAUAUGGCAGUAUUACAACGUAAAAUGGCCUUGCGGACAUACAAUCUCGUUAUGUUGGCAUAAGAAUUUACUGACUGAUAGGCGUUAUCUUUGAACAGGUCCUGGCAAUGAUUAAAAUAUAGAUGUGGAAACUUACUUUGCUGAAAGUAUUAAGUUAAUGAAGAUUGAAUUACA